rnacentral:rRNA from 1 species
UGGGGAAUAUUGGGCAAUGGGCGCAAGCCUGACCCAGCCAUGCCGCGUGAGUGAUGAAGGCCUUAGGGUUGUAAAGCUCUUUCGCCGAGGACGAUAAUGACGGUACUCGGAUAAGAAGCCCCGGCUAACUUCGUGCCAGCAGCCGCGGUAAUACGAAGGGGGCUAGCGUUGUUCGGAAUCACUGGGCGUAAAGCGUAUGCAGGCGGAUCGUUAAGUGAGGGGUGAAAUCCCGAGGCUCAACCUCGGAACUGCCUUUCAUACUGACGAUCUUGAGUCCGGGAGAGGUUAGUGGAACUGCGAGUGUAGAGGUGAAAUUCGUAGAUAUUCGCAAGAACACCAGUGGCGAAGGCGGCUAACUGGCCCGGUACUGACGCUGAGAUACGAAAGCGUGGGGAGCAAAC